rnacentral:rRNA from 1 species
GAAUGCGUAGAUAUCGGGAGGAACACCAGUGGCGAAGGCGACUCUCUAGUUCACACCUGACGCUGAGGUGCGAAAGCGUGGGUAGCGAACGGGAUUAGAUACCCCGGUAGUCCACGCCGUAAACGAUGGAUACUAGGUGUAGGAGGUCAUUGAAUCCUUCUGUGCCGUAGCUAACGCGUUAAGUAUCCCGCCUGGGGACUACGGCCGCAAGGUUAAGACUCAAAGGAAUUGACGGGGGCCCGCACAAGCAGCGGAGCGUGUGGUUUAAUUCGAUGAUACGCGAAGAACCUUACCUGGGCUGGACAUGGUGGUAGUAGAGAAGCGAAAGCGGAUCGACCCUUCGGGGAGCCAUGACAGGUGCUGCAUGGCUGUCGUCAGCUCGUGUCGUGAGAUGUUGGGUUAAGUCCCGCAACGAGCGCAACCCUCGUCGUUAGUUAUACGUGUCUAGUGAGACUGCCGGUAUCAAACCGGCGCGAAGGUGGGGAUGACGUCAAGUCAGCAUGGUCUUUAUGUCCAGGGCUACACACACGCUACAAUGGCCGGUACAACGGGUUGCCAUACCGCGAGGUGGAGCUAAUCCUCAAAGCCGGUCUCAGUUCGGAUUGCAGUCUGCAACUCGACUGCAUGAAGGUGGAGUUGCUAGUAACCGCGCGUCAGCAAUCGUGCGGUGAUGCGUUCCCGGGCCUUGUACACACCGCCCGUCACAUCAUGGGAGUCGGCA